CAGUAGCCGCGGGAAUACGGAGGGGGCUAGCGUUGUUCGGAAUUACUGGGCGUAAAGCGCACGUAGGCGGCUUUGUAAGUUAGAGGUGAAAGCCUGAUGCUCAACAUCAGAAUUGCCUUUAAGACUGCAUCGCUUGAACGUCGGAGAGGUGAGUGGAAUUCCGAGUGUAGAGGUGAAAUUCGUAGAUAUUCAGAAGAACACCAGUGGCGAAGGCGGCUCACUGGACGACUGUUGACGCUGAGGUGCGAAAGCGUGGGGAGCGAACAGGAUUAGAUACCCCUGUAGUCCCUGUCUCUUAUAC
rnacentral:rRNA from 1 species